rnacentral:rRNA from 1 species
GCAUAUCAAUAAGCGGAGGAAAAGAAAAUAACAAUGAUUCCCUUAGUAACGGCGAGUGAAGAGGGAUAAGCUCAAAUUUUAAAUCUGUUUGGUUAUACUAAACAGAGUUGUAAUUUGAAGAAACGUUUUCUGCGUCUUGAAUUAGCCUAAAUCCUUUGGGAUAAGGUAUCAUGGAGGGUGACAAUCCCGUUCAUGGUUAAUUCUAAGGUGCUUUACGAUACGUUUUCCAAGAGUCGAGUUGUUUGGGAUUGCAGCUCAAAAUGGGAGGUAAAUUUCUCCUAAAGCUAAAUAUUGGCGAGAGACCGAUAGCGAACAAGUACCGUGAGGGAAAGAUGAAAAGAACUUUGAAAAGAGAGUUAAACAGUACGUGAAAUUGUUGAAAGGGAAACGAUUGAAGUCAGUCGUACCAACGGGAAAUCAACCUUUGGAGCAUGAAUUUGUGGAUCUUGAAGAGUUUCAAACCUUCGGGUUUACAUAUUUGCGUUCUUUGGGCGUACUUUCUCGUACGGUAGGUUAACAUCGAUUUUGAACAUUAUAAAAUGACUGGAGGAAUGUAGCUUCGAUCUCGUAUUGAAGUGUUAUAGCCUUUGGUAGAUGUAAUGAUCAAGAUCGAGGAUUGCAACGAAUACCCUUUUGGGCUAUCCGUCUGAUCUCUAAUACGUUACCUUGGUAUCGAAAGCGUGCUUUCGCUAUUAAGGUUAACGGUUAAUAGGUUAAAACGUGAUUAAAUUCGUUAAGGAUGUUGACGUA